ensembl:lncRNA
GCGGUGUGGAAUUAACACGAUGUGUAAAAGCGGGUGUAGAAUUAACACGGUGUUAAAAGCGGUGUGGAAUUAACACGGUGUUAAAAGCGGUGUAGAAUUAACACGGUGUUAAAAGCGGUGUAGAAUUAACACGAUGUUAAAAGCGGUGUAGAAUUAACAACGGUGUUAAAAGCGGUGUGGAAUUAACACGGUGUUAAAAGCGGUGUGGAAUUAACACGGUGUUAAAAGCGGUGUGGAAUUAACACUGUCUUAAAAGCGGUGUGGAAUUAACACGAUGUUAAAGCGGUGUAGAUUAACACGAUGUUAAAAGCGGUGUGGAAUUAACACGAUGUUAAAAGCGGUGUGGAAUUAACACGAUGUUAAAAGCGGUGUAGAAUUAACACGAUGUUAAAAGCGGUGUAGAAUUAACACGGUGUUAAAAGCGGUGUAGAAUUAACACGGUGUUAAAAGCGGUGUAGAAUUAACACUGUGUUAAAAAGCGUGUAGAAUUAAUGAAUACAGCUGUGCAUUAACACCUGCAGUGUAGAAUUAAUGAAUACAGCUGUGCAUUAACACCUGCAGUGUAGAAUUAAUGAAUACAGCUGUGCAUUAACACUGCAGUGUAGAAUUAAUGAAUACAGCUGUGCAUUAACACCUGCAGUGUAGAAUUAAUGAAUACAGCUGUGCAUUAACACCUGCAGUGAAUUAACAUGAUGUUUCUACAUAUGAACUUUACUGAUCACUCAGAUUGUGUGUGUGCG